AUGCUAAUGAGCGCUGAUCCCUUGAGUCAAAAUUGCUCACACUGUGAUUCACUUGUACAUAAAGAUAAGAGAUUUGCUGAAAAUUCUAAAUUCGGCGUGACAUGUACUAUUUAUGUAGAGCUACAGAACCUCUGCCGAUUUACAGACAUGCAGAGUGUCAUGUUGCCCACUCUUUCAUCAGUUUGUUGCUUGCUGGAGAUACACUGCACCUGCUAG
rnacentral:rRNA from 1 species